rnacentral:rRNA from 1 species
AACGUAGGAGACAAACGUUAUCCGGAGUUACUGGGCGUAAAGCGCGUGUAGGCGGCAGCGUGUGUCGGGCGUGAAAUCCCACGGCUCAACCGUGGAAGUGCACUCGAAACUGCGCAGCUAGAGUCCUGGAGAGGAAGGUGGAAUGCUUGGUGUAGAGGUAAAAUUCGUAGAUAUCAAGCGGAACACCGGUGGCGAAGGCGGCCUUCUGGACAGUGACUGACGCUGAGACGCGAAAGCGUGGGGAGCAAACAGG